rnacentral:rRNA from 1 species
UACGGAGGUUGCAAGCGUUGUUCGGAAUGACUGGGCGUAAAGGGAGCGCAGCCGGCUCGAUUAGUCUGGAGUGAAAGCCCGGGGCUUAACCCCGGAGGGUCUUCGGAUACUGUCGAGCUCGAGUACGGAAGAGGAGAGUGGAAUUCCAGGUGUAGCGGUGAAAUGCGUAGAUAUCUGGAGGAACACCGGUGGCGAAGGCGGCAUCCUGGACCACGACUGACGCUGAGUGAGCGAAAGCCAGGGGAGCAAACGGG